GACUCCAUAGUGUUUCAUCUGUAGGUGCUACAGUCCUCCUUCCAGACUCCAUAGUGUUUCAUCUGUAGGUGCUACAGUCCUCCGUUAAGGCUCCAUAGUGUUUCAUCUGUAGAUGCUACAGUCCUCC
rnacentral:lncRNA from 13 species